UGCAAUCUCUUUCAACCGGAUGGCGUCUUCUAGCUGGCUAUUAAGCAACACCGUCUCUUCCUCAAAUCGUUUUAUCUCAUGUUUCAAGCCUUCAUAUUCAACCUGAAUUAAAUAAAAUAAAGAAGAUUCAUAAUGCUAAAAGUUGGAUUUAUACACAAUCUGCCAUUUGCCGCAUCUGUUCAAAUAAAUGUCUACAAAUGAGGAAUUAUGCAAUGGGCUGGACUCUCUCCACAUUAGAUAUUAGUGAGCAAACCCAUGCGGAUGCCAGCCUCUCCCCCGGCAUUCCUAUAUCUGAAAGACAUUCAUAUGUUGUCGCUGUUAUGUUGACCUCUUGCCAAGCUCUUCUCACAUCUUAUAAAGACUGUCAUUCACAGGUUGCAGCAGCUAUGCCCAAGAAAUCAUUACAUCCCUGCCAUUCAUUGAAAGUUGGUGAUUUGGUUCUGACAAAAGUAUUUCAGCAUAAGAAUUGCCUGGCUCCUCGUUGGAAGGAGAUCCUGUUGACCACCAACACUGCUGUGAAGUGUCAACAGCUGACCUCCUAGGUGCAUGCUUUGCCCUGUAUGAAGGCACUGGCCCCAGAUGAGGAAGCUGUGCAACCCCAGCUAUCCAAAUCCAAUGAGACAAAGAUUGAAGCUAUGUUCAAUAAGGGAGCAAGUGCUAGUAACCUCUGCUCCCCACCAGCAUACAAUCUUCGGCCCAGACAGCACCAACAAGCAGUGGGCUCCGAUUUGCUUUUCUCAGACAACUGAAGACCUUUAUGCUACCUUUCCCAGCACAAUGGAAGCCCAGAGGUGCAUGAAGGAAGUGCUCUGCAUAAAAGGAUGCCUCAUGCCUGCUGUAUGGCCUAUGGUUAUUGUUAUUGUUAUUGUUUAUUGCCACUUUUUAAAAUUUGUAUAACACUGUGAUGCCCUCCUGUGUUAAUGUAAUGUAUGUUUUCUAUAUUACUGGUCCUAACUGUGGUGUUGUCCUGAAGGAGAAGAAGUGUGAAAGGAAAAAUAUAUCGAUAACUAUUUUAUGAGUGAUCUAAUUGAUUAAUCAUAUUUUAGAUUUGAACUUGCUAACUAGCACUUGGCUUUUGCUUGCUGCUGAUCUUCAACCGGAAAAAAUGACUGUUUGUGGUCGGCAUGAAUUUCUUAAAAAGGAACAUAGAACAAGAAUGUAGGAGAAAAGAAGAACUGAGCUCUGUGUAUGGGUGCAACUUUUACAAUGACACAUGUAGGAAUGGUAGUGAGGAAAGUAGUGGUUAGAACAAGGAUAGGAAAGAACAGGGAAGUGGCCCAGUAACCAGGACAACAAUAGAAGAAUAAGGAACUAUCCUAAUGGUCAGUUCCAAGAAUAGGGAGGUGACCCGAGGGAGGAUUCUGAGAAAUAUGAUAUGUUUAACAAGGAAAGGGAAAUGGGAUGGCUAGUGGGUGAUGCCAAAAUGCUAGAGGUGGGCACAAUGUUAAGGUAUAAAGCCUGCCUCAAAGAUUUGGGUGUUGCCACCUGGCCCAGCCAUCACACAUAAUGACUGCUGUCCAUUUGAUCCUUAUUGCAAUAAGUUGUUGAAAUGUAAGUACUGAAUUCGUGGGUCAAAUUUAAAUAAAUCUCUGGAUCCUAAAGUGAGAA